rnacentral:lncRNA from 1 species
CGACGCAACGUGGAGCACGCGCCGACGUAAAGGACGCUCUCAUCCGCCGCCUCGCUUCUCCCUGAAACACCACGUCGUGAGUCAGACCCGAGAAAGUGCGCAGCGCAGGAACAACGCAAUUCAAUUUUGAAAUAAAAAAUUCUAGGCGAUUCAAAGAAAGUUAUAAGAUAUCUGGAUUCUUUUUCCCAUGGCUUCUUUUGCUUUAUAAUGCUGAUAUCGAUUGAUAAACGUUUGUUAUAUGCUAACAAGAUAAUGCACCCGUGCAGAACGGAAGGAUGGCGAGUAAUGGCGAGAUUUCACGAUAUCUCAGUAAACGUCGCAUUUACAGUUCGACGUAAUGCGGAAAUAAAUCACGCAAAAAGAUAAAAACCUGUGCAUAAAAAGAUCUAAAUCGCCACCAUUCGUUCGUCAAAUUUAAGAGACCUGACCUGUUUCAUGUUCUUUCUCGCACAAUGCUUGCUGAUCCAUCGACUAGCAAAUGACUCAAUCGUUAUACUAAUGAGGCAAUGCAACUCCGUAACUGAUUGGAAAUGACGGCGAUAUCUCGUGAUAUCUCUCAGAGCAUAUUAAACGUGCACAUUCUAGAGACGCGGAGUAGGAGAAAAGCGUGAGAACUGCAGACGGCGCUGUCACGGUACAGUGAGUGGCAAACCCGCGAGAAUCGCGCCGAAGGAGAGAAUUACUCGUUUCGAUGAAUUAUUUACGAUAUCCCACGUUAUUACGCGGUUGGGAAAUAUUUACUCGUCUCUCCAUACCGUUCCGCGUGACUCACGACUUCAUUGAGCUUCGAAACAUCAGAGAGAGUAAACACCGUUAUUUAGCCGAGGCAACUUUCGACAGGUAGGAGCAUUCGUGCAGUAAACGUAUGCGAAUCCUCGUUAAAAUUGAAAGACGCGAGUAGCCUGUGGAAUGUCAAAGAUAAAAGUUAUAAUGCUCUGGCGAUGCAGCAAUAUGGAUGAUGGAAGCUUCGGCAGAUUACCUUAUCGAUUGGUAAAACGGUACCACGUGCGUGACUUAUAAUGCAUCUGCCAUAAAAAGCGUCCACUAAGUUCAAAAGACUUUUUAAUGUUAUAAUUAUGUUAUCACAACACCAACUUGUACAGCAUGGAGAAAUAUUUCUCUAGACCUCUGUUUCUCGAAAUGCACUUGUCUAUAAUUAUCGAUAUAGUAUAGUGUGUCAUCUAUCACAAGAGGCACUAUGUUUGACUAAUUAUUUCAGAGUAAGAUGUCUGGCAAAAGAAAAUAUAAUAUUAAAAGGAACGAAUCAUAUUUAAUGAAGAUCAAUCGAAUUGACGUCAAAAAAUGUCUCUAAUCGAGGACGUUGACGCUGAGGAACGAGGAUAAUCAAAAAUGAAAGACCGAGUCGUGCGAUUGUUAUAAAAGUAUUAUUCAUAACAAUUAAUCAAAGGUGCGGCAAGAGAGGACAACGUGAUGUCGUCGCAUUACAACAAUCAUGGAUUGGAAAUCGAAAUCGGAUCAAGGGGAUUCGCGCAUCAUGCGUAACGCCGCGUAUUACGGCCUCACAAUGGACAUAUUCACGAAACAAACACAGUUAAAAAAUUAAACGCUAGACUAGACUGAGCGAGCACGCUCUAUUUCCAAACGGGACACGCUCGUAUUGCACGCACGCAAAAUUAACGACUCCUCAAGGAUACAUGUGCAUGUAUAUUACAGAAAGCAAUAUUGUUAUUAGGACGAUCACAGAGGUCAAUUGCAAAAAUAAUGUCAAAGACUGGAGAAUCGAUUUCUUUUGUCAAGAUAAAAUCGUCCAACUGAUCAAAGGAUUCUCCAUUGCGGGUCAUCAUUUACGGUAGUAGGUCGCCCUGUCUAAGCGGCUUUUAGUUCUCCGGAAGCGCUCGGGAGAAAUUCUUGGUAAUUGACUCACCUUAUGCCGAUCGUGGUGCAGCACAACACAACAGUGGGAACGACAGGAGAGCGGUGUGUAAAGAGCCGCAAUAACUCUAACACCUGUGUCCAUGCACGACAGCGGCCGACGACACGACGAACGGCAAGGCGACACGACGACGUGACGCUGUUCGAGAACGGGGAAAUAACGAAGGAGAGAAGCGGGACCAACGCGCGGCGGACAGGUAACCGAGGAACACGCUCGAUCGGGAUAACGGUGCGAUCGGCGGCGAACUGAACGUAAGCACACGGACGCGGAGUCGCGACGCGAAA